UCACUGUUCUGACUAAGAAUUAGGCGAAACAAACUGCUACAGAAGAAACCAUACUUCUUCCAAGUAUCGCCUUGAGAAAUGUUGUUGAAAACUAUCCAAUCUUUGAAACCAUUACCAACACAGAACACAAAAAGGGAUAACCUUGGAUUCUACACAUCAGUGUGCCCUGUCCUAGUUGUUCUUUCCAGGAGAAGACUGGAUCUCUCCACACCACGAGCAGAGUGUAUAUAUUCAAGUGUUUCACAUGACUGUUGCCAAGAUCUGUGCAUUUCCUGAACCAAAAUGGAAAUAUUCAAUCAUUCCAUCAGUUUCUUACUAGAAACUGUAUCUACACACUUUCCUUACAAAGGUACUCAAUUUCCCAAGGUUCUUCUGGGAAAUACUCUUGAAACAUGUGAAUCCAGGACCAUUAUUCAAAGGCCUGAAACUCUUUGGCAUCCUUGCUAUAAUGGAGAUUACCCUGUCAGAUAUCAAGAAGUUCUUCUGGGAAAUACUCUUGAAACAUGUGAAUCCACAACCAUUAUUC